ensembl:lncRNA
GUCAGAGAUGGAGCACAGUGGUUACCCACUUCAAAGGGAAUGACAUUUCACACCCUAAUCUGGUUAGAUUAGCAUCUGUUGUCAUGUGCUUACCUGGAUGUAAUGCACCAGUCGAGAGAGUGUUCUCCCAAAUGAAUGAUAUAUUAUGGACAGCAGCAGGAAAUAGGUUCACUGUUCCUUCCAUCAAGGCCAUGCUUAUUGUGAAGACAAACUUCAACCUCCCCUGCCAGGAGUUCAUGGAGAAACUGGCCAAAGACAGCACAAUCCUGAAGAAAAUACAUUCUUCUGAGAAAUAUACAUAUUAGGACCUGAGCCCUAGGACCAUGCCCCAGGACUACCUGACAUGAUGACUCCUUGCUGUCCCCAGUCCACCUGGCCGUGCUGCUGCUCCAGUUUCAACUGUUCUGCCUUAUUAUUAUACGACCAUGCUGGUCAUUUAUGAACAUUUGAACAUCUUGGCC